GAUUCAAGAUGAAACCUUCUCAUCUGAGCAAUCUGUGCAUUAGCUAGCAAUGAAAGAAAGAUUAAUACAGUCUGGUUGUCACGUCCGGGUGCUCUCUGACCCAACAGAGUUGAAAAUAAUCUGUUAAAUGUCAACCAACGGAAGUUAAAGGAAGUAGCCCAUAAUAUAUUUGUGAUUCCACACACGUAACUCUCUAGUACAAGGUUGAAAUAAUGGAGAGCUUUGGACGAAUCUAUCAAGCAUGAAGAAAAUACAAAUAUGAUAGAAUGCAUUUGUUUUUUUUUCUUGUAAAUGAAAUGAAAAUAUUCAAAUAAAAUGAAAUAAAAGAUUCCUUCUUUCUCAUGAA